rnacentral:rRNA from 1 species
AUUGAACGCUGGCGGAAUGCUUUACACAUGCAAGUCGAACGGCAGCACGGACUUCGGUCUGGUGGCGAGUGGCGAACGGGUAAGUAAUGUAUCGGAACGUGCCCAGUCGUGGGGGAUAACGUAGUGAAGAUUACGCUAAUACCGCAUACGAUCUAUGGAUGAAAGCGGGGGAUCGCAAGACCUCGCGCGAUUGGAGCGGCCGAUAUCAGAUUAGGUAGUUGGUGGGGUAAAGGCCCACCAAGCCAACGAUCUGUAGCUGGUCUGAGAGGACGACCAGCCAAACUGGAACUGAGAAGCGGUCCAGACUCCUACGGGAGGCAGCAGUGGGGAGUUUUGGACAAUGGGCGAAAGCCUGAUCCAGCCAUCCCGCGUGCAGGAUGAAGGCCCUCGGGUUGUAAACUGCUUUUGUACAGAACGAAAAGGUUUCUACUAAUACUAGGAGCUCAUGACGGUACUGUAAGAAUAAGCACCGGCUAACUACGUGCCAGCAGCCGCCGUAA